UACAGAGGGGGCUAGCGUUGUUCGGAAUUACUGGGCGUAAAGGGCGCGUAGGCGGCCUUCUAAGUCGGACGUGAAAUCCCUCGGCUUAACCGAGGAACUGCGUCCGAUACUGAAAGGCUUGAAUCCGGGAGAGGGAUGUGGAAUUCCAGGUGUAGCGGUGAAAUGCGUAGAUAUCUGGAGGAACACCGGUGGCGAAGGCGGCAUCCUGGACCGGUAUUGACGCUGAGGCGCGAAAGCUAGGGGAGCAAACGGG
rnacentral:rRNA from 1 species